ensembl:misc_RNA Metazoa_SRP Metazoan signal recognition particle RNA
ACCAUAGGCACAAGCAUGCAUCUAUACUCUCAGCUACUUGGGAGGCUGAGGCAGGAAGAUCGCUUGAGCCAAGGAAUUCUGGGCUGUAGUAUGCUAUGCUGAUUGGGUGUCCAAACCAAGUUUUUCAUCAAUAUGGUGACUUCUUGGGAGCUGAGGGCCACCAGGUUGCCCAAGGAGGGGUAAACCAGCCCAGGUCAGAAGUGGAGCAGAUCAAAACUCUGGUGCUAAUUAGUAGUGAGAUCUUGCCUGUGAAUAGUCACUGUACGGUAGCCUGGGCAACAUAAUAAGACUGUGUCUCU